rnacentral:rRNA from 1 species
CAGCCGCCACGGUAAUACGGAGGGUGCAAGCGUUAAUCGGAAUUACUGGGCGUAAAGCGCACGUAGGCGGCUUGGUAAGUUAGAGGUGAAAGCCCGGAGCUCAACUCCGGAAUUGCCUUUAAGACUGCCGAGCUAGUAGGUGAGAGAGGUAAGUGGAAUUCCGAGUGUAGAGGUGAAAUUCGUAGAUAUUCGGAAGAACACCAGUGGCGAAGGCGGCUUACUGGCUCAUUCUAGACGCUGAGGUGCGAAAGCGUGGGGAGCAAACAGGAUUAGAUACCCGCGUAGUCCCUGUCUCUUAUAC